CGCUCAAGUUAGACAAACAUCCUGGUUACAAGGUUGAACCUGCUGAGUUAUCUCUGGAUCUUGCUAAGAUGUCUCGUGAAAUUAGAGGCAGUCCAGAGAUCUUGUUUGCAAGAGAAGUUGCAAGAGCAUGCAGAAUGGGGAACUUUAUUUCCUUCUUCCGUCUUGCAAGGAAAGCUACAUAUUUGCAGGCCUGUUUGAUGCAUGCUCAUUUUGCAAAGGUAGAAUUAUUGUCUCUAAAAGC